GGUGCCGUAGCUCAGUGAUAGAGUGUCUGUUUCACAUUCAGAUGGCCCCAGGUUCAAUUCCUGGCAGCAUCU